rnacentral:rRNA from 1 species
GAUCCUGGCUCAGGACGAACGCUGGCGGCGUGCUUAACACAUGCAAGUCGAACGGAACGCCCUUGAAAGAGACUUCGGUCAAUGGAUUGGGUUGUUUAGUGGCGGACGGGUGAGUAACGCGUGAGGAACCUGCCUUUCAGAGGGGGACAACAGUUGGAAACGACUGCUAAUACCGCAUGACGCGUAGAGGUCGCAUGAUCUUUACGCCAAAGAUUUAUCGCUGAAAGAUGGCCUCGCGUCUGAUUAG